UCGUACUGGCAUUGUUGGUUUCUCCCUUCUGACGAACCAUGAUGUCAUUUAUUUGGUGUUGUGGGGAAUCAGGACUGUUACUUUGAAAAAAUUAGAGUGUUUAAAGCAGGCUCACGCUUGAAUACAUUAGCAUGGAAUAAUGAAAUAGGACGUUUGAUUCUAUUUUGUUGGUUUCUAGGAUCGACGUAAUGAUUAAUAGGGAUAGUUGGGGGCAUUAGUAUUCAAUUGUCAGAGGUGAAAUUCUUGGAUUUAUUGAAGACUAACUACUGCGAAAGCAUUUGCCAAGGAUGUUUUCAUUAAUCAUGAACAAAAGUUAGGGGAUCGAAGACGAUCAGAUACCGUCGUAGUCUUAACCAUAAACUAUGCCGACUAGGGAUCGGAUGAUGUUAAUUUUUUAAUGACUCAUUCGGCGCCUUACG
rnacentral:rRNA from 1 species